CGCGUGAGAACCGUUCGGACUGAUCCUUCCCUCAGAGAGCCUGGGUUAUGAUGGAUGUGAGGCCACAGAGUUGUAAGCUGUGCCCAGCCGUCCACAGGGUUAUAGUAUGAGGCUGUCAGCAGCUGAAUUUAAAGCAAACGUCAUGUUUAAGACUUCAUGGGAGGUGAUGAUCGAUAAUCUGCUUGCUCCAUUUUCCUCUCCGUUCUCUGAACCUUCGCCCUUCGACUGCAGGGUCCGGUCCCAGACGACGGGGGCCGUCGCUGUCCUCCACAGAUCCUCGUUUUGCUUCACUAUCAGGCUCUGGCUCGCCGCAUAAAGGCCGCCAUCAUCAGAGUCGCUAACUUGGACGAGCUGGUCCACGCGUCAGCAGGAGCAGGUGAAACCAAAGCUGAUCCGUCCAAAUGUUUAGCAGGAGCGCUGUAGAAACGCGGGCUUUAUGUAAGCGGCCACACACAGCUAGCUUCUCUCUUUCAGGGGCUGCGGUGAAGUAAUUCUCUAUGGUCGCUUUUAAUGUUUAGGGGAUUAAAUGAUGUCUUGCGGGACACGAAUGCAGCAGGAGAUCAUCCCUUUUUUUAAAUGACAUUGUAGUUUAAUCCUUUACUAUUCGCAGUCCUCAGGAAAAUGUUGCAAUUUCCUCUGGAUCUCUGAGCUGACGGAUCUAAUCUUGGCUUGCAUUAGCUUGUCUGGGCAUUAUUCUUUGUUGCAGACAGCCCAUUAGAUUUCAUGGUGUCUGUUUCAUGUUCAGUAUAUCACAUACGAUCUCUUUGUUUUAUAUCAGGUUGCGUGAGUGUUUAAACAUAUUCGCAGUCAUAGAUGAGGCCGGAUUGUGUCUGCAGGGAGAUUAUUAUUACGGGUUCUAAUUGUAGGUUUUGUUGUACAGAUUACAACGUGGUGAUCAAUCUGCACCAUGAUGGAGCUGUGAUCAGCCGCAGACAAACUAAAGGAGGAUCCAGUGCCGUGUUGAAUACUUCUUUCCUGUUUGACGUGCCUGAGGGAAACAUCAGUCAGCUGCAGCUCAUGAUGGAAUUUAUAGUUGUGCAGGACAUUUGCAGAGAUCAGGUUCUCGGUCGAGUCGUGGUCGGAGCAGAAGCUGCAGAUGCGGGUCGCGCUCACUGGAGGGACACGUGCAGUCUGCAGGGGGAGCAGGUGCGAUGGCACACGCUUCAGCCAGAACCACAGCAGAGUUCUGACUCCUACGCUGGAAACGCCGUGUGAACGGGUUGAACGCAAGUGAUGCUGAUGUGACUUAUUGAGUUUACUGACACCUCUCUAAGCAAUAAAGUUAUAAAGCAUGGCCUUUAUGUCA
rnacentral:lncRNA from 1 species